rnacentral:rRNA from 1 species
AUUGAACGCUGGCGGCAGGCUUAACACAUGCAAGUCGAGCGAGUGGCGGACGGGUGAGUAAUGUCUGGGAAACUGCCUGAUGGAGGGGGAUAACUACUGGAAACGGUAGCUAAUACCGCAUACCAUCAGAUGUGCCCAGAUGGGAUUAGCUUGUUGGGGGGGUAACGGACCACCUAGGCGACGAUCCCUAGCUGGUCUGAGAGGAUGACCAUCCAUGAUGGAACUGCGACACGGUCAAGACGCCUACGGGAGGCAGCAGUGGGGAAUAUUGCACAAUGGGCGCAAGCCUGAUGCAGCCAUGCCGCGUGUGUGAAGAAGGCCUUCGGGUUGUAAAGCACUUUCAGCGAGGAGGCGUUACCCGCAGAAGAAGCACGGGCUAACUCCGUGCCAGCAGCCGCGGUAAUUC